rnacentral:rRNA from 1 species
UGGGGAAUUUUGGACAAUGGGCGAAAGCCUGAUCCAGCAAUGCCGCGUGUGUGAAGAAGGCCUUCGGGUUGUAAAGCACUUUUGUCCGGAAAGAGAUCCUUGGCUCUAAUACAGUCGGGGGAUGACGGUACCGGAAGAAUAAGCACCGGCUAACUACGUGCCAGCAGCCGCGGUAAUACGUAGGGUGCAAGCGUUAAUCGGAAUUACUGGGCGUAAAGCGUGCGCAGGCGGUUUGCUAAGACCGAUGUGAAAUCCCCGGGCUCAACCUGGGAACUGCAUUGGUGACUGGCAGGCUAGAGUAUGGCAGAGGGGGGUAGAAUUCCACGUGUAGCAGUGAAAUGCGUAGAGAUGUGGAGGAAUACCGAUGGCGAAGGCAGCCCCCUGGGCCAAUACUGACGCUCAUGCACGAAAGCGUGGGGAGCAAACAGGAUUAGAUACCCUGGUAGUCCACGCCCUAAACGAUGUCAACUAGUUGUUGGGGAUUCAUUUCCUUAGUAACGUAGCUAACGCGUGAAG